rnacentral:rRNA from 1 species
AUGAAUCCCAUGGCCAAAUGCUACCUGCUGUUCUUCCUCCUUUUGGCGGUUCUUUUGCCUGAGGCGCGCGCAACUUCGUGCCACCCUGACGACCUCCUUGCGCUGCUGGACUUUGCCGGGAGCCUCAACGGUGGGGGUGUCCUCCUCCGUGCCACGUGGUCCGGUGCCACAUGCUGCAGCUGGGAAGGUGUGGGCUGUGAUGCCGCCAGCGGCCGUGUCACGGCACUACGCCUCCCCAGGCGAGGCCUUGGGGGGGCCAUCCCAGGAACCUCCCUUGCAGGCCUUGCGCAGCUUGAGGAGCUUGACCUCAGCUCUAACAACUUUCACAACAUCUCAGGGCUGCUCGCCGUGUUGCAUGGGUGCCAGAACCUCACCACGUUGAUCCUCACCAAGAAUUUUGGUGGUGAGGAGCUACCCGGUGAUGGUAUUAUUGGUGGGUUCAAGAGCCUCAAGGUGCUGGCCCUUGGUGACUGUGCUCUCAAGGGCAGGGUUCCAGAAUGGUUGUCCCAAUGCAAGAAAAUGGAGGUGCUUGAUUUGUCCCGCAACCAAUUGGUCGGCACCAUUCCAUUGUGGAUUGGUCAGCUUCACCACCUUUGCUACUUGGAUCUCUCAAACAAUUCAUUGGUUGGCGAGGUACCUAAGAGUUUGACACUACUAAAGGGCUUCGCCACCGUUGGGCGUUCAGAGGGCAUGACUUUCACUAACAUGCCAUUGUAUGUGAAGCAUAACAGAAGCACACUCGGACGACGACUUAACGAGCUCCUAAAUGUCAUAACAGGGACCAACAAUGUUGUGAGAUUCGGGAGAAACAAUGUUGUAUCCGGAAACGAUAAUACUGUCAUAUUUGGGGAUGAAAACACCGUAUCUGGGAACAACCAUGCGGUAUACGGGAAUCACAACACCGUAUCUGGGAACAACCAUGUCGUAUCUGGGAGCAAGCAUGUUGUAUCUGGGAGCAGGCAUGGUGUAACCGGGAGUAGCAGUGUCGUAUCUGGGUUCAACAAUGGCGUAUCUGGGAUCAACCAUGUCGUAUCUGGGAGUAACAAUAUCGUAUCUGGGAGCAAUAAUGUUGUAUCUGGGAUGAACCAUAUCGUAGUUGGGAAUAACAAAGUUGUAUCAGGAGCUUAA